UUCAGAUUGCAGGCUGCAACUCGCCUGCAUGAAGUCGGAAUUGCUAGUAAUCGCGGAUCAGCAUGCCGCGGUGAAUACGUUCCCGGGCCUUGUACACACCGCCCGUCACACCAUGGGAGCCGGUAAUACCCGAAGUCAGUAGUCCAACCUCGUGAGGACGCUGCCGAAGGUAGGAUUGGCGACUGGGGUGAAGUCGUAACAAGGUAAC
rnacentral:rRNA from 1 species